CCUACGGGAGGCAGCAGUGGGGAAUAUUGCGCAAUGGGCGAAAGCCUGACGCAGCGACGCCGCGUGAGGGAUGAAGGUCUUCGGAUCGUAAACCUCUGUCAGCAGGGAAGAACGGUCACUGUGCUAAUCAGCAGUGAAUUGACGGUACCUGCAAAGGAAGCACCGGCUAACUCCGUGCCAGCAGCCGCGGUAAUACGGAGGGGGCGAGCGUUAAUCGGAAUUACUGGGCGUAAAGCGCUCGUAGGCGGUAUGUCAAGUCAAGGGUGAAAUCCCCGCGCUCAACGUGGGAACUGCCUUUGAAACUGGCAAACUGGAGUGUGUGAGAGGAUAGUGGAAUUCCAGGUGUAGGAGUGAAAUGCGUAGAGAUCUGGAGGAACAUCAGUGGCGAAGGCGACUAUCUGGCACAUAACUGACGCUGAGGAGCGAAAGCGUGGGUAGCAAACAGGAUUAGAUACCCUUGUAGUC
rnacentral:rRNA from 1 species